UACGAAGGGUGCAAGCGUUACUCGGAAUUACUGGGCGUAAAGCGUGCGUAGGUGGUUUGUUAAGUCUGUUGUGAAAGCCCCGGGCUCAACCUGGGAAUGGCAAUGGAUACUGGCAAGCUAGAGUGCGGUAGAGGGUAGUGGAAUUCCCGGUGUAGCGGUGAAAUGCGUAGAGAUCGGGAGGAACACCAGCGGCGAAGGCGGCUACCUGGACCAGCACUGACACUGAGAGACGAAAGCUAGGGGAGCGAAUGGG
rnacentral:rRNA from 1 species